GUAAGCCGGACGAUCGCGUGCGUGAGCAUGAGGAAAGUCCGGGCUCCGCAGGGCAGGAUGCCUGCUAACGGCAGGUGAAGGCGACUUCAAGGAGAGUGCAACAGAAAAUAAACGCCGCGCGUAUGCGCGGUAAGUGUGGAAAUGUGCGGUAAGAGCGCACAGGGAACACGGGUAACCGUGAUCCCGUGUAAACCCCAUCCGGAGCAACUUUGGGAAUGCUAAGGCGGCCCGCCGUUUUCCCUUUCAAGGCUUGAGCCGUCCGGUGACGGACGGACCAGAUAGAUGAUCGUUCAAGACAGAACCCGGCUUACAGGCUUGCUUU
rnacentral:RNase_P_RNA from 1 species